rnacentral:rRNA from 1 species
AGCUAAUAGAUACCCUGGUAGUCCUGGCCCUAAACGAUGUCCACUAGAUCGUAGCAGCUCUGACGUUGUUAUGGUCGAAGCAAAAGUGCUAAGUGGACCGCCUGGGAAGUACGGUCGCAAGGCUAAAACUCAAAGGAAUUGACGGGGGCUCACACAAGCGGUGGAGCAUGUGGUUCAAUUCGAAGCAACGCGCAGAACCUUACCUGGGCUUGACAUGCUAGGAUUAUCCCUGUGAAAGCAGGGGUAGGCCCUUCGGGGUACAACUAGUACAGGUGCUGCAUGGCUGUCGUCAGCUCGUGUCGUGAGAUGUCGGGUUAAGUCCCUUAACGAGCGAAACCUUUACCCUUAGUUACCAGCGGGUUAUG